rnacentral:rRNA from 1 species
GACGAACGCUGGCGGCGUGCCUAAUACAUGCAAGUCGAGCGAGGUUGUUUGGAAUGCUUGCAUUUCAAACAACCUAGCGGCGGACGGGUGAGUAACACGUAAAGAACCUGCCCUCAGGUCUGGGAUAACCACGAGAAAUCGGGGCUAAUACCGGAUGGGUCAUCGGACCGCAUGGUCCGAGGAUGAAAGGCGCUUCGGCGUCGCCUGGGGAUGGCUUUGCGGUGCAUUAGCUAGUUGGUGGGGUAAUGGCCCACCAAGGCGACGAUGCAUAGCCGACCUGAGAGGGUGAUCGGCCACACUGGGACUGAGACACGGCCCAGACUCCUACGGGAGGCAGCAGUAGGGAAUCUUCCACAAUGGACGAAAGUCUGAUGGAGCAACGCCGCGUGAACGAUGAAGGCCUUCGGGUCGUAAAGUUCUGUUGUAAGGGAAGAACAAGUGCCGCAGGCAAUGGCGGCACCUUGACGGUACCUUGCGAGAAAGCCACGGCUAACUACGUGCCAGCCGCCGCGGUAA